AUUGAACGCUGGCGGCAGGCCUAACACAUGCAAGUCGAGCGGUAGAGAGAAGCUUGCUUCUCUUGAGAGCGGCGGACGGGUGAGUAAUGCCUAGGAAUCUGCCUGGUAGUGGGGGAUAACGUUCGGAAACGGACGCUAAUACCGCAUACGUCCUACGGGAGAAAGCAGGGGACCUUCGGGCCUUGCGCUAUCAGAUGAGCCUAGGUCGGAUUAGCUAGUUGGUGGGGUAAUGGCUCACCAAGGCGACGAUCCGUAACUGGUCUGAGAGGAUGAUCAGUCACACUGGAACUGAGACACGGUCCAGACUCCUACGGGAGGCAGCAGUGGGGAAUAUUGGACAAUGGGCGAAAGCCUGAUCCAGCCAUACCGCGUGUGUGAAGAAGGUCUUCGGAUUGUAAAGCACUUUAAGUUGGGAGGAAGGGCAGUAAAUUAAUACUUUGCUGUUUUGACGUUACCGACAGAAUAAGCACCGGCUAACUCUGUG
rnacentral:rRNA from 1 species